rnacentral:rRNA from 1 species
ACGAACGCUGGCGGCGUGCUUAACCCAUGCAAGUCGUACGGUAAGGCCCUUUCGGGGGUACACGAGUGGCGACCGGGUGAGUAACACGUGAGUAACCUGCCCACAACUUUGGGAUAACGCUAGGAAACUGGUGCUAAUACUGGAUAUGUGCUCCUGCUGCAUGGUGGGGGUUGGAAAGCUCCGGCGGUUGUGGAUGGACUCGCGGCCUAUCAGCUUGUUGGUGGGGUAGUGGCCUACCAAGGCGGCGACGGGUAGCCGGCCUGAGAGGGUGACCGGCCACAUUGGGACUGAGAUACGGCCCAGACGCCUACGGGGGGCAGCAGUGGGGAAUAUUGCACAAUGGGCGCAAGCCGGAUGCAGCAACGCCGCGUGCGGGAUGACGGCCUUCGGGUUGUAAACCGCUUUCAGCAGGGACGAAGCUUUUUGUGACGGUACCUGCAGAAGAAGCACCGGCUAACUACGUG